GAUUUCUGAGGAAAAAUUAGCUGAUUUAGCUAAUCAAGAUCUUAUUAAGUCUCCCCAAACUCUUCAGGGAGUUCUGACUUCCAUCCACCGGUUAUUUUAACAACAACAUCCUCCACCUGCAGCCCACUGAGAGGACAAACACCCUGCUGUAGAGCCUGAGUCGCCGGUGCUCAUCAACAGGCUUCACCAUGGAUCUCUUGAGCCAUUGAAAAGGUCCCUACAUUGUAGUCCUCAGCACUCCAACUGCUAUCAAAGUAGCCAGAAAGCCUACCUCGAUGCAUCAUUCCCACUUCAAGCAGGUCCUGGCUUCCAAAGGCGAUCAACCUACAGAUUCUUAGGCACUAGAUGUUCAAGCCUUCCAUGUUGAAAAAGAUCCAAUUGGUAUUUCUCUGCAUGAGUGUGUGGCCUACCUACCCCCUAGAGCCUUAGUGGAAUACAGAGGU
rnacentral:lncRNA from 1 species